UACAGAGGGUGCAAGCGUUAAUCGGAAUUACUGGGCGUAAAGCGUGCGUAGGUGGUUUGCUAAGUCAGGUGUGAAAUCCCCAGGCUCAACCUGGGAACUGCAUUUGAUACUGGCAGGCUAGAGUGUGGUAGAGGAUAGUGGAAUUCCCGGUGUAGCGGUGAAAUGCGUAGAUAUCGGGAGGAACAUCAGUGGCGAAGGCGGCUAUCUGGACUAACACUGACACUCAGGCACGAAAGCGUGGGGAGCAAAAGGG
rnacentral:rRNA from 1 species